AGCUCCAAUAGCGUAUAUUAAAGUUGUUGCAGUUAAAAAGCUCGUAGUCGGAUUUCGGGGCGACGCAUUCGGUCUGCCGAAGGGUAAGUACUGGGUGUUGCGUCCUUCCUUCUGGAGACUGGUUCUACUCUUAACUGAGCGGGGUCAGGAAACAGAUCGUUUACUUUGAAAAAUCAGAGUGUUUCAAGCAGGCAGCUCGCUCUUGCAUGGAUUAGCAUGGGAUAAUGAAAUAGGACUUUGGUGCUAUUUUGUUGGUUUCGAACACCGAAGUAAUGAUUAACAGGGACAGUCAGGGGCACUCGUAUUCCGCCGAGAGAGGUGAAAUUCUCAGACCAGCGGAAGACGAACUACNGCGAAAGCAUUUGCCAGGGAUGUUUUCACUGAUCAAGAACGAAAGU
rnacentral:rRNA from 1 species